GAAGGCAGCAGGCACGCAAAUUACCCACUCCCGGCACGGGGAGGUAGUGACAAAAAAUAACGAUACGGGACUCAUCCGAGGCCCCGUAAUCGGAAUGAGAACACUUUAAAACCUUUAACAAGGAUCCAUUGGAGGGAAAGUCUGGUGCCAGCAUCCGCGGUAAUUCCAGCUCCAAUAGCGUAUAUUAAAGUUGUUGCGGUUAAAAAGCUCGUAGUUGGUUCUGUGUGCCAUGCUGUUGGUUCACCGCCUGCCGGUGUAACUGACAUGUCAUGGGACGUCCUGUCGGUGGUAAUUAAAGGCUUAUUUCUUAGAAAAGGCUUUGCCUCCAAUAAUUAAUAAGUUACUUUAAUUACCGAUUAAUACCUGCCGCGGUGCUCUUUACUGAGUGUCGAGGUAGGCCGACACGUUUACUUUGAACAAAUUAAAGUGCUUAAAGCAGGCAAAAGUCUGCCUGAAUAGUAGUGCAUGGAAUAAUAAAAUAAGACCUUGGUUCUAUUUUGUUGGUUUCCUGAAUUUAGGGUAAUGAUCAAUAUGGACAGUCGGGGGCAUCCGUAUUGCGACGUUAGAGGUGAAAUUCUUGGAUCGUCGCAAGACGAACUAGAGCGAAAGCAUUUGCCAAGUAUGUCUUAAUUGAUCAAGAACGAUAGUUAGAGGUUCGAAGGCGAUCAGAUACCGCCCUAGUUCUAACCAUAAACGAUAUCAACUAGCGAUCCGUCGAUGUUUUUUUCAUGACUCGACGGGCAGCUUCCGGGAAACCAAAGCUUUUGGGUUCCGGGGGAAGUAUGGUUGCAAAGCUGAAACUUAAAGGAAUUGACGGAAGGGCACCACCAGCAGUGGAGCCUGCGGUUCAAUUUGACUCAACACGGGAAACCUCACCAGGCCCAGACAUUGGAAGGAUUGACAGAUCGAAAGCUCUUUCUUGAUUCAGUGGAUAGUGGUGCAUGGCCGUCUUAGUUGGUGGAUCGAUUUGUCUGGUAUC
rnacentral:rRNA from 1 species